CAUCGGUGACGUAACCCUCCUCGCCACUCUGCUCUGCUCCAAAACCCCAUCCAUCACUGAUGACGUUCCUUUGAUUGUUUUGGACACCGAACUUGAGGUAAUAGACUCUUCCUUCUCUUCUUUCUUCCUCUGUUAGGUAGGGGUGUCCCGGUAGGAGGCAAGGCGGGUCUUUCGAGAGAGAGAGAAAUGGAAAGAAGAAAUAAGUUUGGGAGAAUGGUGAGUUCUUUCUUUCUCUAUUUUUUAUUUUUAUUUUUUUCUCUGUUCUUUCGAGAGGUAGGGGUCUCUCGGCACCCCCUCCUCCGACGGCGGUUAGAGGCCUCCAUUGGUGAGAUUUAGGGCUGAGAGAGAGAACGAUAGAGUUGGGGACCAGAGGAAGUACAUACCUGAUGAAUCUUGGACGCUCUUUGUCGUCGGAGAUGGAAUCGACCGAGGACCAUGGACGCCUCGUCGAAAUCUUAGCUAGAGAACAGGAUGAAUCUUGGACGCUCUUCAUCACGGGAGAUGGAAUUGGCCGAAGACCACAGAUGCCUCGCUGAAAUCUUAGCCAGAGAACGGACAAUCGUUGGGUGUGGCUAGGGUUUAAAAGAUCGAGGAAGGUGAGGGCAUGCUGGGGUUUCUUGGACGGAGGUCGAGGGCAUUUUCUGGGAACAGUUGGUUUCCCCCUUCUAUAAUCUCUUACAAGCCCUCGGGCCCGCCGGUCUGGCCCGUUGAUUCAUGAUUAGCCGGUUGAUUGACAAUAUCCUAGGAAUCCAACCAAUAAGAUAACUUACCCUGCCAAAACAGAAAAUAGUCAAUGUUUUGACCAAAAUUGUAAACAUGUAGCAGUGUUGUGUAGAAAAACCAGUAUUCAAAGCUGAUCUUCUGCAUGUUAAGCUGGAGGAGAUCAGUAACAUAACCUGUCAAUUUGGGAAUCAAGCGUAAAAGAACUAGAUAGUCAUAAAAAGGAGAGGCAUAGAAGGAAAUACUUUCAAUAUCAAAAUUAAAACUAUCUAAAGGAUCGGACCCC
rnacentral:lncRNA from 1 species